UGAAUACGAAAUGCUACGGCAUUGAAGUGAUCUAUGCCAGGCUUCCAAGAAAAUCUCGUCAUAUCUUAAGCAGUAGAUGCCUGUACCUUAAACCGACACAGGUAGGUAGGUAGAGUAUACCAAGGGGCGCGAGAUAACUCUCUCUAAGGAACUCGGCAAAAUAACCUCGUAACUUCGGAAGAAGAGGUACCCUUGAAAAAGGGUUGCAAUAACCAGACCCUGGCGACUGUUUACCAAGAACACAGGUCUCCGCUAAUUCGUAAGAUCAAGUAUGGAGGCUGACGCCUGCCCAGUGCCGGAAGGUUAAAGAAGUUGGUCAAUCUUUGGAUGAAGCUGGCGACUGAAGCCCCGGUGAACGGCGGCCGUAACGAUAACGGUCCUAAGGUAGCGAAGUUCCUUGUCGGGUAAGUUCCGACCCGCACGAAAGGCGUAACGAUCAGGGUGCUGUCUCGGAGAGAGACUCGGCGAAAUAGACAUGUCUGUGAAGAUGCGGACUACCUGCACCUGGACAGAAAGACCCUAUGAAGCUUUACUGUAUCUUGGAAUUGGGUUUGGGCCUUGCUUGCGCAGGAUAGGUGGGAGGCUGUGAAGAUAUUCUUGCGGGAAUGUUGGAGCCAACGGUGAGAUACCACUCUAGUAAGGCUAAAAUUCUAACUCUGAACCGUUAUCCGGUCAGAGAACAGUUUCAGGUGGGCAGUUUGACUGGGGCGGUCGCCUCCUAAAAGGUAACGGAGGCGCGCAAAGGUUCCCUCAGGCUGGUUGGACAUCAGUCGUAGAGUGUAAAGGCAUAAGGGAGCUUGACCGCGAGACCCACAAGUCGAGCAGAGACGAAAGUCGGCCUUAGUGAUCCGACGGUUCCACGUGGAAGGGCCGUCGCUCAACGGAUAAAAGUUACUCUAGGAUAACAGGCUGAUCUCCCCCAAGAGUUCACAUCGACGGGGAGGUUUGGCACCUGGAUGUCGGCUCAUCGCAUCCUGGGGCGGUAGUACGUCCCAAGGGUUGGGCUGUUCGCCCAUGAAAGCGGUACACGAGCUGGGUUCAGAACGUCGUGAGACAGUCGGUCCAUAUCCGGUGCAGGCGUUAGAGCAUUGAGAGGAGUCCCCCUUAGUACGAGAGGACCGGGGGGAAUACACCGCUGGUGUACCAGUUAUCGUGCCAACGGUAAACGCUGGGUAGCCAUGUGUAGCGCGGAUAACUGCUGAAAGCAUCUAAGUAGGAAGCCCACCUUAAGAUGAGUGCUCUCACCGCUAUAAGCGGGUAAGGUCACGGUAAGAACAACCGUUAUAUAGGCAUUAAGUAUACGUGCAGUAAUGCAUUUAGCUGAGAUGUACUAACAGACCGAGGGCUCU
rnacentral:rRNA from 1 species